rnacentral:rRNA from 1 species
UACGUAGGGUGCAAGCGUUACUCGGAAUUACUGGGCGUAAAGCGUGCGCAGGCGGUCGUGCAAGUCAGAUGUGAAAUCCCCGGGCUCAACCUGGGAACUGCAUUUGUGACUGCACGGCUGGAGUGCGGCAGAGGGGGAUGGAAUUCCGCGUGUAGCAGUGAAAUGCGUAGAUAUGCGGAGGAACACCGAUGGCGAAGGCAAUCCCCUGGGCCUGCACUGACGCUCAUGCACGAAAGCGUGGGGAGCAAACAGG